rnacentral:rRNA from 1 species
GCGGCGGACGGGUGAGUAACACGUGGGUAACCUGCCUGUAAGACUGGGAUAACUCCGGGAAACCGGGGCUAAUACCGGAUGCUUGAUUGAACCGCAUGGUUCAAUCAUGAAAGGUGGCUUUCAGCUACCACUUACAGAUGGACCCGCGGCGCAUUAGCUAGUUGGUGAGGUAACGGCUCACCAAGGCGACGAUGCGUAGCCGACCUGAGAGGGUGAUCGGCCACACUGGGACUGAGACACGGCCCAGACUCCUACGGGAGGCAGCAGUAGGGAAUCUUCCGCAAUGGACGAAAGUCUGACGGAGCAACGCCGCGUGAGUGAUGAAGGUUUUCGGAUCGUAAAACUCUGUUGUUAGGGAAGAACAAGUACCGUUCGAAUAGGGCGGCACCUUGACGGUACCUAACCAGAAAGCCACGGCUAACUACGUGCCAGCAGCCGCGGUAAUACGUAGGUGGCAAGCGUUGUCCGGAAUUAUUGGGCGUAAAGCGCGCGCAGGCGGUUUCUUAAGUCUGAUGUGAAAGCCCCCGGCUCAACCGGGGAGGGUCAUUGGAAACUGGGGAACUUGAGUGCAGAAGAGGAGAGUGGAAUUCCACGUGUAGCGGUGAAAUGCGUAGAGAUGUGGAGGAACACCAGUGGCGAAGGCGACUCUCUGGUCUGUAACU